rnacentral:rRNA from 1 species
GCCAGACUCCUACGGGAGGCAGCAGUGAGGAAUAUUGGUCAAUGGCCGGAAGGCUGAACCAGCCAAGCCGCGUGAAGGACGAGGGUGCCAGGCAUUGUAAACUUCUUUUGUCAAGGGACAAAAUCAGGCUCGAGAGCCUGACCGAGGGUACUUGAAGAAAAAGCAUCGGCUAACUCCGUGCCAGCAGCCGCGGUAAUACGUAGGGAGCAAGCGUUAUCCGGAUUUAUUGGGUGUAAAGGGUGCGUAGACGGGAAGGCAAGUUGGUUGUGAAAUCCCUCGGCUUAACUGAGGAACUGCAACCAAAACUAUCUUUCUUGAGUGCUGGAGAGGAAAGUGGAAUUCCUAGUGUAGCGGUGAAAUGCGUAGAUAUUAGGAGGAACACCAGUGGCGAAGGCGACUUUCUGGACAGUAACUGACGUUGAGGCACGAAAGUGUGGGGAGCAAACAGGAUUAGAUACCCCCGUACC